CCGGCUCAGGUGGGUUUAGUGUCACUGGUGGGUAAGGGUUGCCGCAGGUCAGUGUCCUGCGUGUGUGAAGGUGCCUGGAUCGAGCUGUUCCCUGCGGUGUCCCGCAUCUCUGCCUUCGAGGCCUGAGCAAUGGUGUGGAUGGGGCUCAAACGUUUGCCUCCAUGUUUGCUUCGUGCUCAUCUGCUGGAAAUCCUGGCUGGAUGUGUUUGCCUGUUGUGUGUAUUUGCUUUGCAGCCUUCAGGAUAGGGUGGAAAACACCCCUGGUUUCUUCUCUGUCUGUAAAGGAGAAGACUAACCUCCAAAAACGUGCUCAGCUGUCUGGGGCUAAACUAGUUUCCUUCUGAAGUCAAUCCACCACCUAUUUCCCAAGUGGUUUAAGAGCCAGGAACUUGAAAGGCUAAGCAUUUUACUUCUUUUCUUUCUUUCUGUGAAUAGUCAAUGAGACAAAACUGCAGUCACCUUGGAAAUGCAUUUUGAAUUCUGUCUGGAGAGAAACUUCACCUAAAGCUAUUUGGUCAGGACCCAUCCUGCUGUGUUGCUGCUGCAGAGGAGCUUGGCAUAGUUUGUAGCUCUUAAUGAAAAAUGGGGGGUGAGGGAAUUGUCCUUUUCUGUGUAUCUUUUGGGUAGGGGUUGUGGUGUGGCUUUGUUUUGGGAAAUGAACAAACCUUCCUCAUAUUUUCCUUCCUUAUUGGCUUUUUGGGACUAGGCAAGAAUUGAGGCAUAUAAAUGGGACCAAGUGGGGUGACAUCUCUGCUGUAGGACUGUCUUCCCCUUCUUUUCCUCCUGUCCCAGCUAGUAAUGGGAUUAAAUAUCAAGGAGAAUUGAUGUCAUGGAGAAAAAUCAUGCCCAGGGGUUUGAUUGGCUUCUGGUUUAGCCCUUUCUUAGCAAUGUACAUGGCUUCUGAACUGUCUUCUAUCUGGUUUGUGUAGUGUCAAAGGUAGAAAUAGCAAUGAAGACGUCUGGGAAUGAUUACUUUUGUUAAAUUUAAGAUUUGAGCACUCCCCCCUGUUUCCAAAGGAAAUCUAGUUGGGACCCUGGUUUUUAGCUUUUACAGUUGCAUUUGUGUCGGAAGUUUGCAUCCUUGCGUUGUAAUAUUAUUUUGGAUGCUGCAGUUGAAUGCGGUGUUGCUUUAAAGUCACAAUUUUUACUUUAAUUUUAAUAUAGUGGGAGAUCUGGAAUUGCUUGUGCAGGAACUUCUGUGAUUUAGCAUUGAUUGAGCAGCCUGCUCUAGUAGAAGGUGUCCCUGCCCAUGGCAGGGGGCUGGAACUCGAUGAGCUUUAAGGUCCCUUCAGCCCAAACCAUUCUAUGAUUCUAUUAAUCAGCUUUAUGCGAAGGUUAAAAGGAAGAGGGCCCCAUUUAUUGUUAGUCUCUUUCAUGUAAAAUAGUGCCUAUAAAACAAUUGGCUGGGGUGAAAAUAGCCAAGGGGUUUGUAGCAACAGUCUCUGUGUGAGCUGGCUCACUGUUCCUGGUGUUCUGUCAUUCGUGGUGUCCAUCAGCUUCUGCUUCAGGACCAGCCAUUUCCAGAGGGAGAGCCCAGCAUCAGCUGGCUUAUUGGGUCUGGCACAGAGUAGGCAAAAACUAAUUUAAGGUUUGGUGGCCCUCUGGGGAUGUGAGUGUGGUCAUGGUCAAAGCUGCUCUGCUAAGCUAGGGCCUGUUUAUCUUUAUUCCCAAUUUCCCCUUCCUCUGCCUGCAUCCCGACAGUCAGAACUGCUGCUUGUAUGCAUCACCACAAAGUGACUGAGCCAGCCUUUGGGAGAAGCUGGGUUUUGUCUGUGGGGCUGUGAGGAUCUUGGGGAAGUGUUUUGGUGAUGGAGUCCAAGCAGAGCCGGUGACUCCAGGCUCUGCUCCAACCGGGUUUGUAGCUGGGAUGGUUAAGAAAAGCAGGAACUUCUCCUGAUGAGUUUUGAAUGGGUUUGAUCUGGAACAGAAUUCAUGACUUUUUAUUAGGAGUUAAAAUAUUGGAAGCCUUGUAGCUACUCAAUGUGAUGUGCACAUGAAUGUCCCUUUCCAGCAGAGGAGCUGUUAUCAGGGUUUAUUUUCAAUCUGAUGCUGGCUCCUGAGAAAGGAAGGAAAAAACGCCCAGAGAAAAGGGGAGUUUGCUUUUCCCUUUGUGGGAUUUUAGAGUGCUCUGAUGAGAGCUUAAGCCUAACAAAUCUUGUGCUUAUGACAAAUUCAGAUCCAUCAUCAAUACCUGGUGACCUAAAGGACUUAACGUUUCUGACGAGCUUUUCUACUCUGUCAAGACUUGUGCAUUUGAACAGGCAGUGCUGUCUGGUGGCCUGUUCCCAAAUGCAGGAACUUUAUCAAAGUCUAAUCACUUGGACCAGAAUCUGGAAGGUAUCUUCUUGCUUGAUUCCUGUAUAAAACAAAAGUGUGUGGGUUCUGUCUUCUUGUGCACUUUCAGUCUUUGUCUCUUUCUCCUGACAGUGAAAAUGCCUGUUUGAUGCUCAAGGUUGAGUAUUAAGGAUGCACCACUAUAAGAGGGAAUGUUACUUACUGAGUUGGGAUCUGGCUGCCUUCCUUUGUUACUUCUGCAUCCAGUAACUCCUCAAAAAUGCUCUCACAAGUUCUGCUAGGACCUGGAGCAGCCUGGGAAAGGGGGAGCCUGCAGCUUUGCCUGGUGAUUGCCGCUGAGGAGAGGAACCAGCUAAAGUAGCGCAGGACCCCCUGAAUUUCUUCCUGUGACAGAUGGAGUUAAUGACCUGAGAGCCAUUUGUAUGGCUGCUGCACAAAGCUGAUGGCUCUAAAAUGCCAGAGGAUAGGAGGUGGCCAGAACCUGGAGAGGAGGCUGUGCUUUCUCCAGCUGCAGAUUGACAAGAAGGAAAACCAGAUUGUUGAAUGAGGAAGAUCAACAGAUUGGAAAUGGAGUAGGACAUAUUCCCGAGGUUGAAGAAGCUUCCUGACAGUGACUGCCUUUGCUCAAUCCAGGGUGCUGUUAGUUUGAAUCCCAAAGGCAUACGUGACACAGGAUUUGCUGUGACUAAGGGAGGGUGGCUUAAUUGCUUUUAGUCUGUUUCCCUUUUGUUGUUUCUUGCUCUAGUCAGUAAUACAGGGAUUUAAGAAAACGGAGCUAAUGCA